UACGAAGGGCCCUAGCGUUAAUCGGAAUCACUGGGCUUAAAGGGUGCGCAGGCGGACCUGUAAGUGUCUUGUGAAAUCCCGGGGCUCAACUCCGGAAUUGCUUGGCAAACUACAGGUCUUGAGCCCGGCAGAGGCCGUCGGAACUCUAGGUGGAGCGGUGAAAUGCGUAGAGAUCUAGAGGAACGCCAAAGGUGAAGACAGACGGCUGGGCCGGCGCUGACGCUCAGGCACGAAAGCGUGGGUAGCGAACGGG
rnacentral:misc_RNA from 1 species